UCUAUUAUGGCAGAAUAGUGCAAUGGAUUUAAGCUCCAUAAAUAAAGAAAUUAUUUCUUUUUUUAGAA
rnacentral:tRNA from 2 species